UACGUAGGGGGCGAGCGUUGUCCGGAGUUACUGGGCGUAAAGGGCGCGCAGGCGGUCUGGUAAGUUUGGAGUGACAGUGUUCGGCUUAACUGAGCAAGGCCUUCGGAAACUAUCAGACUUGAGCACUCAAGAGGGACAUAGAAUUCCGGGUGGAGUGGUGAAAUGCGUAGAUAUCCGGAGGAAUACCAAAGGCGAAGGCAGUGUCCUGGGGAGUGUCUGACGCUCAGGCGCGAAAGCUAGGGGAGCGAACAGG
rnacentral:rRNA from 1 species